rnacentral:rRNA from 1 species
UAGGGAAUCUUCCGCAAUGGGCGAAAGCCUGACGGAGCAACGCCGCGUGAGUGAUGAAGGUCUUCGGAUCGUAAAACUCUGUUAUUAGGGAAGAACAAAUGUGUAAGUAACUAUGCACGUCUUGACGGUACCUAAUCAGAAAGCCACGGCUAACUACGUGCCAGCAGCCGCGGUAAUACGUAGGGCGCAAGCGUUAUCCGGAAUUAUUGGGCGUAAAGAGCUUGUAGGCGGUUCGUCGCGUCUGGUGUGAAAGCCCAUCGCUUAACGGUGGGUUUGCGCCGGGUACGGGCGGGCUAGAGUGCAGUAGGGGAGACUGGAAUUCCCGGUGUAACGGUGGAAUGUGUAGAUAUCGGGAAGAACACCAAUGGCGAAGGCAGGUCUCUGGGCUGUUACUGACGCUGAGAAGCGAAAGCGUGGGGAGCGAACAGG